rnacentral:lncRNA from 1 species
GCUCAGACAAUCCUCCCUCCUUCCAUAACUGUGCGUGCCGAAUACCAAACAGUGGAGCCGAGGGGGCAAGGUGAUUCAUUGCAUACUCAUCUAUCAAAGAGUGAGAGAAAGAGAGAGGGAGAGAUAGAGAGUGUGAGAUAGGUAGAGAAAGAAAGAGAGAGAGAGAGAGAGAGAGAGAGAGAGAGAGAGAGAGAGAGAAGGGGGGGAGGGGGUCACAAAGAUGAAGGAUGAAGGGAUGUUGCAUUUUCACCUUUGUUAGAUUUCUGUGGUUGUGUCAUAACUUCACAUAAUUUCACAGUGUACAAGUUGUGUGAACAACCCCCAAAAAGCUAGUUUGCAUAGCACCAGGUCACAGCCAUCGAGGUGGCCACUGGCCUUUUGUCUAUGUUGAUGAGCCAUCAGACAUGGUUCCUGCCUUUUGUGUGUCUUGGACCUAGAAACAUUAGUUGGCUUUUGUCUACACACGACAGAGUGGUCGAGGCCACAAGGCAUUAGCAUCUAUAUGGCCAUACCUGACCAUAGCCCCAGUCAAGCUAGACUUUCCCCUCUGACCUCCAGACACACCCAUCCCCUCCCCUUUACACCUCAUGUUAAUUCUGCAAUAUAAAAUGUCUGUAUUCUCUGUAAUGUUUGGAGAAGAUGAAGCAAGGAGACCGAGCCGUGAGCAGACGUGCCUAGCGCAUGCUCGUGCUGCGCCGAGCUGACCGUGGCUAGUGACUGAAUAAAACACAUUCUUUCGCUAAGCCGUCUUCUACAAGUCUGUUAUUCCUGAACAAGCUAACUUGAACCAAGCGUGGGCAUCCGACGAAUUCGACGGAGGACAGCGAGAUCUUUCAUUUGGCGUUUCCACCCAGUUUCAAGAAGUUCAAAGGACAAAUACGAACAACAGUCCAAGGAGCAGCAUGAGGGAAAUGGGAACGCAGGAACCAUUGACCCGCUGCAUUGACCAAGCCAUCACGUUGUCCAGAUUCACCUCACCCGUUGGACAGCAGUGACGAUACAACAUUCAAAGACUUGACCAA